rnacentral:rRNA from 1 species
UUAAGUUAUUAAGGGCGCACGGUGGAUGCCUUGGCACUAGAAGCCGAUGAAGGACGUUACUAACGACGAUAUGCUUUGGGGAGCUGUAAGUAAGCUUUGAUCCAGAGAUUUCCGAAUGGGGAAACCCAGCAUGAGUUAUGUCAUGUUAUCGAUAUGUGAAUACAUAGCAUAUCAGAAGGCACACCCGGAGAACUGAAACAUCUUAGUACCCGGAGGAAGAGAAAGAAAAUUCGAUUCCCUUAGUAGCGGCGAGCGAAAUGGGAAGAGCCCAAACCAACAAGCUUGCUUGUUGGGGUUGUAGGACACUCUAUACGGAGUUACAAAGGACGACAUUAGACGAAUCAUCUGGAAAGAUGAAUCAAAGAAGGUAAUAAUCCUGUAGUCGAAAAUGUUGUCUCUCUUGAGUGGAUCCUGAGUACGACGGAGCACGUGAAAUUCCGUCGGAAUCUGGGAGGACCAUCUCCUAAGGCUAAAUACUCUCUAGUGACCGAUAGUGAACCAGUACCGUGAGGGAAAGGUGAAAAGCACCCCGGAAGGGGAGUGAAAUAGAACCUGAAACCGUGUGCUUACAAGUAGUCAGAGCCCGUUAAUGGGUGAUGGCGUGCCUUUUGUAGAAUGAACCGGCGAGUUACGAUUUGAUGCAAGGUUAAGCAGUAAAUGUGGAGCCGUAGCGAAAGCGAGUCUGAAUAGGGCGUUUAGUAUUUGGUCGUAGACCCGAAACCAGGUGAUCUACCCUUGGUCAGGUUGAAGUUCAGGUAACACUGAAUGGAGGACCGAACCGACUUACGUUGAAAAGUGAGCGGAUGAACUGAGGGUAGCGGAGAAAUUCCAAUCGAACCUGGAGAUAGCUGGUUCUCUCCGAAAUAGCUUUAGGGCUAGCCUCAAGUGAUGAUUAUUGGAGGUAGAGCACUGUUUGGACGAGGGGCCCCUCUCGGGUUACCGAAUUCAGACAAACUCCGAAUGCCAAUUAAUUUAACUUGGGAGUCAGAACAUGGGUGAUAAGGUCCGUGUUCGAAAGGGAAACAGCCCAGACCACCAGCUAAGGUCCCAAAAUAUAUGUUAAGUGGAAAAGGAUGUGGCGUUGCCCAGACAACUAGGAUGUUGGCUUAGAAGCAGCCAUCAUUUAAAGAGUGCGUAAUAGCUCACUAGUCGAGUGACACUGCGCCGAAAAUGUACCGGGGCUAAACAUAUUACCGAAGCUGUGGAUUGUCCUUUGGACAAUGGUAGGAGAGCGUUCUAAGGGCGUUGAAGCAUGAUCGUAAGGACAUGUGGAGCGCUUAGAAGUGAGAAUGCCGGUGUGAGUAGCGAAAGACGGGUGAGAAUCCCGUCCACCGAUUGACUAAGGUUUCCAGAGGAAGGCUCGUCCGCUCUGGGUUAGUCGGGUCCUAAGCUGAGGCCGACAGGCGUAGGCGAUGGAAAACAGGUUGAUAUUCCUGUACCACCUAUAAUCGUUUUAAUCGAUGGGGGGACGCAGUAGGAUAGGCGAAGCGUGCGAUUGGAUUGCACGUCUAAGCAGUAAGGCUGAGUAUUAGGCAAAUCCGGUACUCGUUAAGGCUGAGCUGUGAUGGGGAGAAGACAUUGUGUCUUCGAGUCGUUGAUUUCACACUGCCGAGAAAAGCCUCUAGAUAGAAAAUAGGUGCCCGUACCGCAAACCGACACAGGUAGUCAAGAUGAGAAUUCUAAGGUGAGCGAGCGAACUCUCGUUAAGGAACUCGGCAAAAUGACCCCGUAACUUCGGGAGAAGGGGUGCUCUUUAGGGUUAACGCCCAGAAGAGCCGCAGUGAAUAGGCCCAAGCGACUGUUUAUCAAAAACACAGGUCUCUGCUAAACCGUAAGGUGAUGUAUAGGGGCUGACGCCUGCCCGGUGCUGGAAGGUUAAGAGGAGUGGUUAGCUUCUGCGAAGCUACGAAUCGAAGCCCCAGUAAACGGCGGCCGUAACUAUAACGGUCCUAAGGUAGCGAAAUUCCUUGUCGGGUAAGUUCCGACCCGCACGAAAGGCGUAACGAUUUGGGCACUGUCUCAACGAGAGACUCGGUGAAAUCAUAGUACCUGUGAAGAUGCAGGUUACCCGCGACAGGACGGAAAGACCCCGUGGAGCUUUACUGUAGCCUGAUAUUGAAAUUCGGCACAGCUUGUACAGGAUAGGUAGGAGCCUUUGAAACGUGAGCGCUAGCUUACGUGGAGGCGCUGGUGGGAUACUACCCUAGCUGUGUUGGCUUUCUAACCCGCACCACUUAUCGUGGUGGGAGACAGUGUCAGGCGGGCAGUUUGACUGGGGCGGUCGCCUCCUAAAAGGUAACGGAGGCGCUCAAAGGUUCCCUCAGAAUGGUUGGAAAUCAUUCAUAGAGUGUAAAGGCAUAAGGGAGCUUGACUGCGAGACCUACAAGUCGAGCAGGGUCGAAAGACGGACUUAGUGAUCCGGUGGUUCCGCAUGGAAGGGCCAUCGCUCAACGGAUAAAAGCUACCCCGGGGAUAACAGGCUUAUCUCCCCCAAGAGUUCACAUCGACGGGGAGGUUUGGCACCUCGAUGUCGGCUCAUCGCAUCCUGGGGCUGUAGUCGGUCCCAAGGGUUGGGCUGUUCGCCCAUUAAAGCGGUACGCGAGCUGGGUUCAGAACGUCGUGAGACAGUUCGGUCCCUAUCCGUCGUGGGCGUAGGAAAUUUGAGAGGAGCUGUCCUUAGUACGAGAGGACCGGGAUGGACAUACCUCUGGUGUACCAGUUGUCGUGCCAACGGCAUAGCUGGGUAGCUAUGUGUGGACGGGAUAAGUGCUGAAAGCAUCUAAGCAUGAAGCCCCCCUCAAGAUGAGAUUUCCCAACUUCGGUUAUAAGAUCCCUCAAAGAUGAUGAGGUUAAUAGGUUCGAGGUGGAAGCAUGGUGACAUGUGGAGCUGACGAAUACUAAUCGAUCGAAGACUUAAUCAA